UGGGGAAUAUUGGACAAUGGGCGCAAGCCUGAUCCAGCCAUGCCGCGUGAGUGAUGAAGGCCUUAGGGUUGUAAAGCUCUUUCACCGGAGAAGAUAAUGACGGUAUCCGGAGAAGAAGCCCCGGCUAACUUCGUGCCAGCAGCCGCGGUAAUACGAAGGGGGCUAGCGUUGUUCGGAAUUACUGGGCGUAAAGCGCACGUAGGCGGAUCGAUCAGUCAGGGGUGAAAUCCCAGGGCUUAACCCUGGAACUGCCUUUGAUACUGUCGAUCUAGAGUAUGGAAGAGGUGAGUGGAAUUCCGAGUGUAGAGGUGAAAUUCGUAGAUAUUCGGAGGAACACCAGUGGCGAAGGCGGCGCACUGGUCCAUUACUGACGCUGAGGUGCGAAAGCGUGGGGAGCAAACAGG
rnacentral:rRNA from 1 species